GCUUACAAUGACCAAUCAACAGAGCUGUUAAGAGCAGUGAUGGCCUGGAAUGCAGCAUAAAGAUCUCCAACCAGUUGUAGCUUUGGUUACAUCAAGCAGCAUAGGUUUAGCUACUUUAAUAAAAAAACAUUGAGCCUAGUCUCAAAGAUUGUAAACAAAAUAUACCAACAUAAUACAUUUUACUUAAAAAUUCAUAUGAAGAUAUUUUCGCUUACAACUGUGUUUCUCUAUCUAUACAUAUAUGUAUAUACACACACACACAUAUAUAUAUAUAC